UUACUUUAUCUGUAGGCUGUGUUUUGUGGUGAAGCCAGAUAUCCAAGCAAGCAUAGGAUUUCUCCCAGAUGCAGUAUCCAGGGGAGCUGUCAUGGACAAGCCUCUCUUUACAACUGAUCUCGUCUAAGCAUGGCCAGAGGCUAAAACUUUGACUAAAUCUCGAUGGAUAAAAAGUCAUUAACUGAGUGUCUUCAGCGAAGACAGUACUGCUGGCCCAGCGGGCAGAGGUUACCUGUAAAGGCUGGAUCUCAGAAGCUCGGUUUUCUCUUGCCAACUGCAUCAUCUCUUUAAUUUGGUACAGUGCAUAGACGAAGGUCACCCAGGGAGAAGAGCUGACCCCCCAAGCUGAAGCUUCGGAAAGAUGGAGCACCCUAAGAAGAUGAGCUGGGACCAAAGAGUUGAGCUGCAAUACGUGCAUUGCACUGGAGCCAAAGAGAGAGAAAGCCAUUCUUACCGAAGUAGUUGACUAGCAGGCCUCCGAUCAUGGCGCCACAGCCUCGUCCCAGGCCCAGGUGCAGGCCCUGCAGGAUGCCCUGAGCAGACGUCCGCAGCUCGGGGGGCACAGCCGCACUGAGACAAAGUCCACUGUGCAGGAGGCAGGAGGAGCAGUGGCUCCACUCCAGAAAGGAAUUCAGGGACCCGGGUACAGAGACUCUGUGCUCUUCAAUGCCUGUUUAGCCGGAUGUCACUGUCCAGCUGGCAGAAGAGGGAGAAGACGGUGCAUGGGACAUUUUAUGGGCACACAUCAUUUUUGUGUUCAUUUCACUGGCCAGAGGCACUACCUGGUCAGACCUAAAGGAUGCUGGGAAAUGGAGUCCAGCCGUUGGUCCUCGAAGAGGAAGACAGCAGCUGAAGAGCAAGCCGGGCUCCUUGCCAGAGCCGGGGCCACAGACAGCACAGGACUCUCCAAAGCCAGAAGCCCUCACAACAUGCUAGGAACCUAGCAGCGGCAGCACAAGUCUUCAGUGUGCCACACGAAAGAGACUUUAUAGAAGACAUGUUAACAAUUACAUAUUAAAGGCCAACACAUCCAUGCCCACCAAUGCAUGACACUGUAAGACUCACCUUCAUACAUUUAGUCAGCACUCUUUACUGAACCACUGUACUACGCGCCAGUUACCCUGAUAGGCUUUGAGAACAUGACAGCAUACAAGAAAUGUCCCCAGACACCAGAGUUCCGUUGAGAGGGAGAACAGGACAGGAUUCACCUGAGUGAGCAGCAGAGCAAGUCCCUGAGCAGACCCACCUGCCCAGCACAGGGGUUGGCACAGCUCUGUGGCUGAAGAGAAUCCCUGGGACUAAGCCUUGGCAGGAGGAAGGCACUUUGGGUAAAAAGUACCCUGCACAGGGCUGGAGAAAACUUCCAAACCCCACACACGAGUACAAUAGACAGAGGAAGUAAAAUAGCAGACCUUCUAUGAGCUGUAGCCUGCAGGUUUUUAAAAAAAUGAGUUCCUGAAAAAUAAAAUCUACUCUUGAUACGGCAGUGUUUGGGGAUUACGCAUGCUGACACUGCCUUCGGUGUGUUUUCAAAGCGGGUUUUAGAGAUUACCACCCAAAACGAAGUGUGUUUAAUGGCAAGACUUCACACACUUUACACUACAUGCUCAGUGUUGUCCCACAGGAAGGCACAUAUGACAACUGCUUUUGUGUCAAAGCCAGCAAAAAUGUCACUUCCUCAAAGAAAACUUCAAGAACAGUAUGCACUAGAUAGUCACGAUUCCUUCAUGCUCAGAGCCUACUUAUAGCUUCCAUGCAUAAUUGCAGUUUAACCUCUGAGAGUAGACUCUUAAAUUCCAUGCCCUGGUGCUGAUUUAUGUAUGUAUAAUUUGUUUUCCAUUUUUGUUACCGUAUAUCAUCUGACAUCUACUGGAUGCUAUGUGUCACGUCCUGUGCUAACCAGUUUGAAUGGAGUGGUUUAUCUAAUAUCCAUAUCAACUUCCAUUAUUAAUGGCUCUGGAGUGUGAGGCUUAGAGAGGCUAAGUGUCCUCCCUAAAGACCACAGGGCUUGGGAAAGGGAGCUGGAAUUCAAACUCAGUCUAAUUCAAGCCUAGCCACUUUCCAGGUUCCAGAUUAUUGCACAUUUUACAGAAUGAGGUGAGAGAGUAAGUACAUGAUUAAAAUCAUCAGUGUUUUUACAGAUGUGCCAUGGAGGGCAAGCUGUCAUGCUAGGAAGAACUAUGAUAGUGAAGGUUCAACUGUUAAAUUUAGUUCUGAAAUUUCUUUCAGAUAUUUAUAGAUUUUUUUGAGCUGGAACUUCAUGUAUUAGUCAAGAGAUUUAAAAAUUGGAAAAUGCCUGAAACGUGGGACUAUACGAUGAAACAAGCAUUUAUAGUAUAUUCCCCUAUAUGCAUAACUCUUCGGUGAAUUUUAAAAGUAUAAGGUCUUUGUAUUCAAGAAUUUAAACUAAGGAGACAUAACGAGUACUUGUAAAAUAGUAAGAGAGUACCUAAGUGCUAAAAUGUGUACCGCAGUCCAUAGCUUGAGAAGGACUCAGAAAAAGGAGAGCUAAGUGUGGGAUUUGAUUGCCAGAAAAGGAUUCUUGGAUCAGAGGACAUUUCAGAUGACUACCAAAUGGACAAAAUAAUUCCUGUUUUGAAGAAAAUAUUUUAUAGGAAUUCUUAGUAACUAUAAACCAUAGGGUGACAAAGAAUAAGAUUAUUCUAUUACACUUCAAAAGACUUUUGAUUAAAAAUUAAUUUUAACAGUAACACAAAUGACUUAUUUUAAUUGUUGUUUUUUGAGACAGGGUCUUGCUAUGUAGUCCAGGCUGGUCUCAAACUUGUGGUGAUCCUCCUGCCUCAGCCUACCAGUGCUGGGAUUACAGGAGUGUGAGCUACCACUCCUAGAUAUCAUAGGUGACAUUUUAUGUCAUUUUACCAGUUGAAAUUCUAAUGCAUAUCUGUCUGUCUCAGUUAUUCAUGUCACAAAAUGUUUGUAUUUAAAAGGUUAAGUCAGACAAAAUUUCCAAUGUGGAUAAUAACCGAAUGGAACCAUGUUUAGAAGGUCUACUGUCAGAUAGGGGCUGCAUAGUAAUCCUCUUAUAAUUUCCUCAGAGGAAGGAAAAUGUGGUUCUUAGUCAGUGGAGUAGGCAUGCUAUUUUAGGCAAACAGAGGAAAGCUUCAUAAAUGUCAGCCCAGGCCCUCCUACUGGUCACAUUAAAAAGUCAUCUUUCAUCAAAAUCUCAACCCAGCUCCUACUGGGAGCACAUUUCACAGAGAAGGAGCGACCCAGCCAUCAUUUUCACCCCUCAGCCCUGGAGCUGUUCACUCAAAUGAGCUAAAAAGGCUCCUUUAGUUAUAGGAGCCCUUGGGCUCCCUUUACAUCUUGGUAGCAAGAGUAAUCUUGAUCAUAUGCAUCUCUGAGUUUUGCAAGGAUUUACUAUAAGCAAUACUCACAUAGUUAAGGAGCAUAACAAAUUCAAGCCUGAUUUUUAUCAAAUGUUUAUAUUCUUGAUAACCAUGCAUGCUAAAGUGCUUCUUAUACAAAAGAACAGGUGAACAUUCCUAUGAGGUUUGAAAAUGAGAUCUUGAGAAAUAAAUAUAAACUCAUCAUGUCACCACCACCAUCCACCAAUGCGUGUAUGCACUUAGUUCCGCUGUCUCUUUUUAAAAAUAUAUUUUAGGCUCUUCCUGGGCAAGAAAUAUGGCUUGGGCUUCUUGACUAACAUGUUUGCUGUAAAUGGUAGCCGAACUGCUGAAAGGAUCAGACUACAAAAGCACAGGGGCUGCUGAAUGUGAGAAAGGUCACAAGAAACAAGCUCACAACACCAAACAGUACCUAGUGGUCUCAUCUUGGCCCCCAAGACAGAUGCCUCACAGCCCCUUUCCCAUGAGGCUGGCCAGGAGGACAUCUUCCCCCACCCACCUGCUAAGUCCUAUCCACAUGUCCUGAGGAGACAGAACGGUGAGAGGGUGAUCCAGAACUGAAGGAAAACAAGGAAUUCUCCACUGUUAGUUACAGACAACACAAAGGGGGGGGGAGCUGGCUAGUUGGUGACGGCGACCACAGCAAUACUGUCGUAUCCCACCUUCAGCUGCCCAUUAAAUGGUACUGGCUGCAGGAUAAUUGGGGGAUGAGCCAAGGGGUGAAAGCUGAAGAGACUGAAUUCACUAUAUCCUUUCUGGAAGACUCUCAUGUGACAAGGAAGUGCUGGUCGUUCAGUGUCAAAAUUGUUAGGGAUGACGGGUAAUAGUCCACUCCCAGCCUCCCUUCCCAAGACACUGAUAAAACUCAGGCAAGAGGUGAAGUCAGUGAUUGAAGGCGCAUCUACCACGGUAGUGUUCUUAUCCUAAAAUUAAAUCCUUCAGUGUCUUCUUGCAUCCUAAGUAGAGUCUCCUUUAAGCACGGGGACUUUGAAGUCUUUUGGACAAGCCCUGUCAAAAUCAGCAGAAUCAAGGCUGCCAAAACAAACCUUUUUAGUCAGAAAUGUAUUCCUGUGACACAAGAUUUAUUCCACAUGGAUGACCCACUACUUUCUGUGGUAUGGGCACAGAUCCAACAAAGGCAAGCAAUUUUGCUUUUGCUCUACAGCCGAGAUACUCAGCACUUCCUGGUGCCAGGGAAUGAAGCCAUCUCCUCCAGCUUUGGAGACAGCGAGCUCUGGAACCUGCUCACAGAGCCCUCUGUUGGAUCUGCAUUUACAGAUCUUUGUUUUCACUUGCUUCAGAUCAGUAACCAGGUUCCUACUGGCACAGGGGAGAGUACGAGACACGGAAGUAUAAGCCAUAGCAAAAAGCCUGUUUAGAGUCAGAACAUGGCCAGCUCCCAGAUCCUGGGCUCACAGGCCCUGAGGUGCAGAUGGGAACAGGAAAGAUAUGUCCUGAGUUGGCAGCCUGGGUAGGGACCCCAUACAGCCCUACCUACACCACCCCCCACUUAUAUCCCUGAUGCAACUUUUCCACCUUCUGCUUCCACUUAUCUUCCACUUCCCACGUCCACAACCUGACAAGCACCUUCUCUCCGCUGAAAGGCUGAAGGCCACCUCUGAAGGCCACCGGGAGGAUUCCUAGUGGCCCUUUCUACUCCAGCUCAGUGAGAUUUCCUUGGGGAAUUUCUCGGUCAAAUCUUCAUCCUCCACUCCCUGAUUCACAAAGUUAAUUAUCCCCUGCACUGAGCUCCUGCCUGUUUCCCAGCACAUCUUCCUGUGAUUCCAUCUAACACACUGUAUAGUAAUUAUGUGUUUACACAUCUGGCUUCCGGAACAGAUGGUGAGACUUUGGACCUGAGUUAAUUAUUAUUAUUAUUAUUAAUAUUCCCAGCACCAGCAUGUUGUCUAGCUCUUAGCAGCCAUUUAAUACAUCUUUGAUAAACUAACAGGAAAAGAGGUUUUAAGUUCACAAUAACAUUUGAUUUUUCCUGAUAUUUUUCUGUUGUUCCUUUAACCAUUUUAUGAAUGCUAUUUUUCUUGAGUCUCUUAUGCAAACUGUUCUUUUCUGUCUUCUUUUUAUCUUUUACUUUGUCAGUGCUGGGGAUGGAAUCCAGGGCCUCAUACAUACUAGGCAAUCACCCCACCACUGAGCUACCCAGCCCCAAACUGUUCUUUUCUAUAUAACUCAUAUUAAAAGGAGGAAAGGUAUGUGUAUAUAUUAUUCCAAUACACUCUUUACAGUAGGCACAGAAAUCUUGUUAUAGAGUCUAUACACAGUAAUAUGCCAAUUAAAAAAGCAAUUAAGCCAGAUACAGAGAAAAGAGGAACUAGAAGUGGGAAGUCUUAAGAACUGGAUACAUGUACCUUGUUGCACAAUUCUUUUUUUUUUCCAGUACCAGGAAUCAAACUCAGGACACCUUGUGCUUGCCAGGCAGGUGCGGCACUGCUGAGCUAAAUUCCCAGCUGCACAGUUCUUUCUUGUAGUUCACAUUCAGUGUUUUGUUAUUCUGAAAUACCUAAACCUCAUACGUGUGCCUUACCUCAAAACGUCUCCUGAGUGGUCAUCAUUGCAGUCAUUUCCUUUUACCUAUUUGUAAAUAGAUCUCCUUUCACCAGUUACAUCGCACAGAAGUCCUAAGAAAAAGCACCCUCCAAGUGUGUAUAGUUUUGAAUUUUAUAACUAGAAUAUGACUAUAAAUUAUAUCUCCUUUAAGUUAGGGUGCUCUUUCUCAUCACCAUGAUGGAGUCUGAUGAAUGAGGUUGUGCCAUUUUUGUACAUUUUGUAAGGAUGGUAAUUGUGAAUCUUUCAUCUGAAAAGACUGAAAGGGCUGAGUUGCAUUUGCAUCCACAGGGUCAGGAAAAAUGAUAAUGGCAAUCUUUACUAAACAAGUUAUACAAAAUCACUGUAUAAUUAUAAUUAAUGAUUGUAUAAUUAAUGAUACAGGAAGCUACGCUGUCACAGUAGAUUCAACUCCAGUGAUCCUGUCCUUGUCCUAAGCCUUUUUUCCCCUUUUGUGGUACUGGGGAUUGAACUAUGGGAGUAUUGAGCUACAUCCUCAGCUCUUUUUAUUGCUUUUUUUGAAAUUCUGAGGCAGGGUCUCAUUAAGUUGCCAAAGCUGGCCAUGAACUUGUGAUCUUCCUGCCUCAACAUGGGAUUACAGGUGUGCACCAUCACGGCUGACUUCUAAGCCUUUAUUUUAAUCAUAAUGUCAAUCACUAGAUAGGUUAGUUGAGCUGCUAACAGGGGUUUUGGGGAUCUAGUCAGGAUUAUAUGGGCUAAUAUGGCAAUGAGCUUUGAAUAUAAAUCCAUGUUUUCAAUGCUUUUAACACGUUCACGACAAGGCUGUAAUUUGUAUGCCUUGCUGCUGGACAGCUCUGAACCACCAAUGGUACAGGCAUGACUGUCCCAGCUGGUGAUAUGGGACAGUCCCAUGUGGUGGUACAAGCCACCCGAUGGUGCAGUCAUGCCUGUACCACCAGUAGUUCAAGCCAGGCGGAACAUGUUAAGCCACAGAGCAAGAGCCUCCUAGAAAAUUUUUAAGAAUUAUACUUUGAUGGAAAAUGAUGCCCUAAGAAGGAAAAGAACUUGGGUCAGGAUACCUGAGCUGAGAUUUAGAAGAUUCAUGGAAAACAGUCAUAUGAUUGUAAAGCUCUAGCUACAGGCCACCAGCUGGAAUAAAAGUAUCUGGAGAUAAAACAAUUAUGACAAAAAUAUUUUUCCAAUAACUGUAGUUAACCUAAAAAACCAAAAGAAUCUAAAGCGUUGAAACAUAAAAUCCUUUUUUAAAGCCACCUUUGGAUGCCUAUGCUUAUGAGUGUCACUGGAGUUUAUCUUGAGUUCCCUCUUUGUUUAAU